rnacentral:rRNA from 1 species
GUGUCAGCCGCCGCGGUAAUACGGAGGAUCCAAGCGUUAUCCGGAUUUAUUGGGUUUAAAGGGUGCGUAGGUGGGAGAAUAAGUCAGAGGUGAAAGCUAGCAGCUUAACUGUUAAAUUGCCUUUGAUACUGCUUUCCUUGAGUCUAGUUGGCGUUGGCGGAAUGUGACAUGUAGCGGUGAAAUGCGUAGAUAUGUCACAGAACACCGAUCGCGAAGGCAGCUAACGAAGCUAGUACUGACACUGAUGCACGAAAGCGUGGGGAGCAAACAGGAUUAGAAACCCCCGUAGUCC